rnacentral:rRNA from 1 species
AUGUCCAGGCUGAUCGGACACCGGAACAGGUGCGGUACGCUCAUCUCUGGCACCCACAGAGAUCAGCAGGAAUGCAACAAGAAAUGGAAGAAGCUAGACGCCCACACAAGAGCACGGACCCAGCAAGAAAUGGAAGAACCUAAUCCUUCCUCCAAGCAGGAAAAAGAGAAUCGCAAACCACUCCACUCAUACCAACCAAGAACUCAUCAAGAAAACCCCAAAAGAUGGCAAACAAAUCUGCAGCUCCGGCCGAUCGGUGGAGAAGCCUUUGUAGGCCGCGAUCGACUUAUUUCGAGGAAUGCGGUCACACAGAAAGCUUUUUUUUAA